ensembl:snoRNA
UGUGAUGGAGGAAUAUGAAUGUCCAGUUCUAUGUCUUCGGUGCCAGAAAGGCAACCAUCUUCUGGUUCUAUCCUCAAUCACUGCCACAUUU